rnacentral:pre_miRNA from 1 species
UGGGGGAGGCCGGAUCCUGGGCUGUGUCCCGGCGCCCUGUGCUCCGGAACCUGCGCUGUUGGAUUCCUGCUCCCACCCCGCAGUCCCCU